AGCGCUUGUGGGGCAUUCCUUUUUGAACAGUAUCCAUUCCUUUGAUGUCUACAAUAUCGCCUUUCUUGUGGAUUCCCAUGUAUGUGGCCAAAGGAACAAUUCUAUGUUUUCUAAAAGGCCAAGAGAACAAUUAUCAGCCAGGCACGGUGGUUUAUGCCUGUAAUCUCAGAACUUCGGGAAACUGAGACGGGAGGAUUGCUUGAGGCCAGGAGUUUGACACCAGCCUGGACAGCAUGGACUCAAACAGGAAUCCAGAGACUCAUUUGCACUGGGAGACAAACUGAAAUGACAGUCUCAUGCCAUCCUCCUUGAUAAAGAACACUUUCAUCUUAUGCCCAUGUACAAGUUUCAAUUGUUGCAUAACAAAUUACCACAAAUUCAGCAACUUAACACAAUGCUCAUUUAUUAUUUCACAGUUCUAUAGAUCUAGGCACCCUGGACCGGGUUCUCUGCAUAGGUCUCACAAGGCCAAAACAAAGAUAAGCCAGGCUGGGCUUAUAUCUGCAAGUUUUGAGGAAGAAUCUGCUUCUAAGAUCAUUCAAAUUGUUGGCAGAAUUUAGCAUCCUUGUGACUGUAGGACUGAGAUCCACACUCCCUUGUUGGCUGUCCACCAGGGGUCACUGUCACUCCUCAUGGUCUCCCUCCAGUUUUUGACCACAGCCCCUCCAUCCUCACAGCCAGCAAUAGUGUAUAGAUUUCUUUUUGUGCUUUGACUCUCUGAUUUCUUUUUCUGCCACCAGCCAAACAAAAUUUUUUGCCUCUCAAGGGUUUGUGUGAUUAGAUUAGGCCCACUCGAAUAACUUUGCAUUUGAUAAACUCAAAGUCAACUGAUUAGUGACUUUAUGUCUACAGAAUCCCUUUGCUGAAUAAGAUAACAUAAUCCAGACAUGUUAGCUCAUUGUACUCAGAGGUCCAAGAAUCAGGGCAGACAGUCUUCAGGGGCUGCCUUAGAAUCAUGCCUGCCAUGGCUCUGCUCAUUUCACUUUUGCCACCUUUAGGAUGAGUUAGCUCUUAAACAUUUCCGAAAAAGUAGGUUUCUGGUGAAACUUCUUCCCUCCCUUGAAGUUUAUGUCCAGAUGUAACAGAAUUUUAAAUUACAUUGUAGUUGAGACACUUUACACACACACAACCACACACACACACACAUACACACACACAGAGUCCAUCUUCAAAACAGCUUUUGACUGUUAACAUGAUUCUUUCAAUUUGGAGGGAUGCUUAAAUGUUCCGCCAUAAAAACAUUUAGCUCUUUUUGCAAUAUUUCAUUAGAGGAGAAGACUAUCUUUAAAAGAAACAAGUUCAAAUGAUUCCUAAGAGUCUUGAAGUAUUUUCAAAACAGUGUUUUCUAAAUCUUUUCAAAAUGCCAGCAGUUCUUGAUAAAUGAAAGGUCAUGUUAAUUCUUUUGGCAUUUAAAUCAGCACCUUUAACAUGAUUAAUUGACUUAGCAUUUAAUACCUGAUUGUGCAUUCCACUGUUAUUAUAUGGAAAUACUGAUUUGGAUCCAGAAGAAUAUUAAAACAAUUAUUAAUUUA